rnacentral:lncRNA from 1 species
UUUUUUUUUUCGUUUUCCAUCAAGUUCUAACUCAAGAGACCAGAUACAGUUCCUUGUGCUUAUACAGCAGAAUCCUAUCACCCAUCCAUUCUAAAUGUAAUAGUCUGCAUCUACCUACUCCAAACUUUCCAUCCAUCCCUCUCUCUCCCCCCACCCCCUACCUCCUUGCAAACACAGAUCUGCCCUUCAUGUCCAUGAUCUAUUUUUGCAUUGUAGAUAGAUCUUUUGUGCCAUAUUGUAUACUUCAAACAUAUGUGGUAUCAUACGGUAUUUGUGUUUUUCUGUAUUACUUCACUUAGUACGAGAAUCUCUAGUUCCAUCCAUUUUGCUGCAAAUAGCAUUAUUUUGUCCUUUUUAUGGCUAAAUAGUAUUCCACCGUAUAUAUGCACCACAUCUUCUUAAUUCAUUCAUCCGUCGAUGGAGAUUUGGGUUUUUCUAUGUCUUGGCUAUUCUGAGUAGUGCUACAGUUAACAUAGGGGUGCAUGUAUGCUUUUCAAUAAAAGUUUUGUCCAGACAUAUGCCCAGGAGUGGGAUUGUUAGAUCAAAUGGUAGUUCUAUAUUUAGUUUUAUGGGGUACUUCCAUACUGUUUUCCACAGUGGUUGUACCAGUAUACAUUCCCCCCACUGAUGAAGGAGAUUUCCCUUUCCUCCACAUCCUCUCUGGCAUUUGUUGCUUGUUGACCUGCCAAUGAUGGCCACUCUAACUGGUGUGAGGUGGUACCUCAUUGUAGUUUAAAUUUGCAUUUCUCUAAUAAUUAGUCAUGUUGACCAUUUUUUCAUGUGCCUGCUGCCCAUCCAUAUGUCUUCUUUGGAGAAAUGUCUAUUUAGGUUUUCUGUCCAUUUUUAGAUUGGGUUGUUUGUUGUUGAGUUGUUUGUAUAUUUUGGAGAUUAAGCCUUUGUCAGUUGCAUCAUUUGCAAAGAUUUUCUCCCAUUCUGUGGGUUGUCGUUUUGGUUUUUUAAUGGUUUCCUUUGCCGUGCAAAAGCUUUGAGUUUACUUUUGUCUUUAUUGCCAGUAUUCUAGAGGUGGAUCAAACUAGAUGUUGCAGUGGUUUAUGGCAAGUAUCACUCUGUCUAUGUUUUCCUCUAGGAGUUUUAUAGCAUUUGGCCUUACAUUUAGGUCUUUAAUCCAUUUUGAGUUUAUUUUUGUGUAUGAUGUUAGACAAUGUUUUAAUUUCAUUCUUUUACAUUCAGCUGUCCAGUUUUCCUGGUACCACUUAUCAAAGAGAUUAUCUUUCCUCCACUGUGUGUUCUUGGCUCAUUUGUCACAGAUAAGUUGACCAUAGGUGCUUGGGUUUAUUUCCAGGCUUUUUAUCCUGUUCCAUUGAUCUCUAUUUCUGUUUUUGUGCCAGUACCAUACUGUUUUGAUAAUUGCAGCUUUGUAGUAUUGUCCUAACUGAGCCUCUUUCCUCCAGUUCCAUUUUUUCUUUUCAAUAUAGCUUUGGCUAUUCAGGUUAUUUUAUAUUUCCACACAAAUUUUAAAAUAGUUUGUUCUAAUUCUGUAAAGAAUGUCAUUGGUAAUUUGAUAGGGAUUGCAUUGAAUAUGUAGAUUGCCUUAAGUCGUACUGUCAUUUUUACUAUAUUGAUUCUUCCAAUCCAAGAGCAUGGUAUAUUUUCCCAUCUAUCUGGGUCAUCUUUGAUUUCUUUCAUCAGUAUCUUAUAUUUUCAGAGUACAGGAUUUUGUCUCUUUAGGGGCAUUUAUUCCUAGGUAUUUUAUUCUUUUUGAUGUGAUGAUAAAUGGUAUAGUUUCCCUAAUUUCUCUUUCUGAUCUUUCAUUGUUAGUAUGUAGAAAUGAAAUUGAUUUAUGUGUUUAAUUUUGUAUCAUGCAACUUUACCAAAUUCAUUGAUGAGCUCUAAUAGUUUUCUGGUAGUGUCUUUAGGAUGUUCUAAGUAUAGUAUUAUGUCAUCUCCAAACAUGCUCCUUCAUUCCUAUUACUUUGAAAAUCCUCUUUAUGUUGUUCACUCUCAUAUCCACAGUACCAACAUUUUUUUUUCUGUUUUACUUUUAUAACUAAGGAAUAUUGACUUUAUCCCUCACAUAUUUUAUAAGCAUUUUAGAAUUAACAUACCCAAAAAGAACUAUUGAGUUUUCCCCAAUUUUCUCCCCCUAGUCCUCUCCCAUAUCACUAAAUGGCUUUAAAAUGGAAUAGAUGCCCAAUUCAGAAACCUGAUAGUCUUUCUUAUUAUUUCCAUCUCUUGUAGAUUGCAUAUCCAAUCCACCCCCAGUUCAACUGGUUCUACAUAAUGUAUUUCAAAUAUGUCUGCUCCACUCCAUCAUCAUUGCUUCUACCUUAGUGCAAGCAACCAUCAUCUAUCUCCAGUAUGAAUUAUCUCCAAGCUUGUCCCUAUAGUUUCACUUUGAACAUUUACAAUCUCUUCACUAAACCAUCAUAUGAUAAAAAUAUUUUCUAACUUAACAGUCUUCCAUAUCCUUCCAUUGUCCUUGGAAAGAAGUCCAUUUAAAAUUAUCAUAGCAUACACUGUCUACCUACAGAUAUGCACUGUUGCUUGCCUAUCCUCCAAACUUACAUGGUCUCACUCUUCCUUUUGCUUCACUUUUACACUUUAGCCACAUGUACUUUAUGAUAGUCCUUGGUAUAUGCCAAGCUCUUUCUUUCUGAGGCUCUGCACCUCUCUUUCCCUGUAACUAGAAUCAUCUUCCUGGAGCUUCUUGAAAUAAAACUUCUUCUCAUAUUUUAGGUUGAAGUUUUUGUUUUUGUCGUUGUUGCUAAUGCAAAUCAACCUGUCUGAGUUACCUUCAUGGUGUACAGCAUUUAAUAUAAGAAGUAUUAUAGAAUUUGCUCUGUUUUCAAAAUAAUUUCCUAGGAGAAGUGCUAAUGAAAGUGAACACUUUAUGGACAAUUUCUUUGAUAAUAAAACUUCAGCAUAAUUACUCAAGGUGAAAAUUAAUGCUAAGUUUUUUUUUUCUGAUUAUUCAGGUUACAGUCAAGUUGCUUCAGUUUGUGCUUAGCUGUUAAACAGCAACAAAAGCCAGUCUGGGCUAUGGUUUGCAUACUAUUCUUAGAUACUGUACUGAACUGUUUAUCUAUUCAUUACAAUUUCUCACUCCAGAUUUAAUGCUGCAAAGAACCCUAGGGAACAGAGUCAAAGCCAAUAUGGAUUAAGGUCCUUAGAAAACUAUUCAUGACACGGAGUAUAUAAUUGAGUGUGUAUUCUAUACAAAGCAGUCUUAAAAAUUCAAUUUGAUUGAUAAUAUGUGUUACUGAAUGUUAUAUUGGAAUGGCGCUGCUCUUGCAAUAGCAAUUAAAUGUCUGCCUUAGUUUUAUAAAACCUUUAUAAUUUGGUUGAAAAGAAUGAUCUAAAUGUGAAACUGGACUCAGCAGGAUUGUAAUUUUAUUUUUCUAUCUUUCAGAAAAUACAGUCAGUUUUUGCUAAAAAGUGUAAACAACAUAGACAUUAACAUCUCAAGUGUCACCUUUAACUAAAGAAGUCUUACUGAAACCAAUUUGGGUGUAUCUUUGUAUAGUAAUACCUCACCCUCAACUGUUUAGAGUUACACAUUCCAUUUGGAGCUGGUUAUGAGUAAACCAUAUGUAAUAAGUUAUCCAAAAGCUUCAUGCACCUUUCCUGUUAACUUUCCUCUGAUUUCUACAUUAUAUAAGACCUUAAUGUCUUUGAAAGAAAUUCUAUGAAUUCCACUCCUUAAUAGCUGUGAUAUUUGCUAUCUACUAAUUCAACAUCAAAUAAUAAAAAUACUGUCAUAUUUAAUUGCUUUUAAUUGUCUGAGGUUCUACUGAAGAAUAAUUUUUACAAAGCUAUUUUGAAAAAGUAAUUUUCAUAAUUUGAUUUUUUCUUUUUGAAAGAGCAAUGCUAAAUGGCUAAUCUUAAAUAAUAAAAUGAAUAUUUUAAUGGGGACAUUAAAAAGCUGUAAUUUGUGAAUAUGCUAAUAUAUAUAAAUCUAAAUUCUAAAAUGAUAGUGGUAUAUACCUGUACUAAUCAAUAGUGAAUGCCUAUUGAAUUCCAAACAUUGUGCUAAGUUGAGUAGCCAUGAUUGUAGAAAAAAAAAAGAAAACCAUGUCAGCAAUUAAAGAUAACCACAAAAAUCUUUUAUAUUCUUCCUAUCGAGUAGUCUGUGUGAGAUAAAAUAACUGCUUCUAUUGGUAGAAUAAAGUAGGUAUGAGUUGCUCCAAUUUCUGAAUACAUAUCCACAAACUGACCCAACCAUUGUGCCAUUUGCCACUGCCUGUAUCUUGAUUAUCUACAUCUUCUUUCUUUUCUUUUUCUUUCUUUCUUUCUUUUUUUUUUUUUUUCCGCUUUUUUAGGGCCAAAUUCAUGGCAUAUGGAAGUUCCUAGGCAAGGGGCAGAAUCAGAUCUGUAAUUGCUGGCCACAGCCACAGCCACAGCAAUGCCAGAUCAGAUCUGAGCCCCUUCAGGAAACUACACUGCAGCUCACUGCAAUGCUGGAUCUUAAGCCACUGAGUGAAGCCAGGGAUUGAACCCAUGUCCUCAUGGAUACUAAUCAGAUUCAUUACUGCUGAGCCAUAGCAGGAACUCCACAUGUUCUUUCUUUUGAGAUUUAGUCAUCAUGCUGAGAGAAAACCCAGUCCUAUUGGAAGCAGAGGUAACAGUUAAUAGCAAUGCAUUAGCUGUGGUAGUCAGCCCUUAAAGUGGUCCACAAUGAUUUCUGGCUUCUGGUAUUCAUGACCUUGGGUAGUCCCCUCUAACACUAAAUAAAGCUGAACUGUGUGACCAAUAUACCACAAAGACAACAGUGUGUGAUCUCUUAAGCUAAGUGACAAAACCAAUACAACCCCUGUUUUGCUCUCACUUGAACCACUUGGGUGAAAGCCAUCUGCCAUGUUCUAAAGUCACUGAAGUAGUUCUAUGGAGAGAUCUACAGGUGAGGAAUGGAGGUCUUCUGCCAAUAGCUAGGACCAAAUCAUUAUCUAUCCGAGUGAACCCUUUGGAAGCAGAUUCAACAACCUCAGUCAAGCUUCACAUGACCGCUGUCCUAGUCAGUCUUGGCUGCAGUGUCAUGAAAGACCC